rnacentral:misc_RNA from 1 species
AAGUCGUAACAAGGUUUCCGUAGGUGAACCUGCGGAAGGAUCAUUAACACGUAUCCAACGUUAAACCCCCCGUGAACCUACACACUUCCUUCUUUGAUUCAGGGACUUCCACGUGCAGAAUCGCUUUAGAUGGUCUUCAACAUAAGAGGAGAGGCAAGAGGAUGGUCCCCUCACAAGGCGCCACGCGUUCUGAAAGUGUUCGCGCGUCGUUUUGUGAGGAGUCCGUUGGAAAGCGGAAUGACUGGAAGGCCAUCACGGCCGGUCAUCUGUCCCCUACGCGCCGCGUUCCAAAUGUACGAACGAGCAUCGGAUGCCCUUCCGUCCCUCGGUGGACAAUAACCGGUAGAUCAAUGUUUUGCUAGCCGAUGAGUCCGCUAGCACCUAAUACUUGAACAACUGUUAACAAUGGAUAUCUUGGUUCUC